UACGUAGGGUGCGAGCGUUAAUCGGAAUUACUGGGCGUAAAGCGUGCGCAGGCGGCGCGUUAAGACAGGUGUGAAAGCCCCGAGCUUAACUUGGGAAUUGCGUCCGAUACUGGUUGGCUUGAAUUCGGGAGAGGGAUGCGGAAUUCCAGGUGUAGCGGUGAAAUGCGUAGAUAUCUGGAGGAACACCGGUGGCGAAGGCGGCAUCCUGGACCGGCAUUGACGCUGAGGCGCGAAAGCCCAGGGGGAGGCAAAACGGGG
rnacentral:rRNA from 1 species